AUUUAUAUAGUUUAUUCAAAACUUUACAUUUUCAUUGUAAAAAUAAAAAAAUUUUUUUUUAUAAAUA
rnacentral:tRNA from 1 species